AACAAAGAUCAGGACUGAGGGGUGAAGCUUCCCAAAGGAGGGCGGGUCCUGGCGGCGCUAGACAAGGGGCAGGUGCCCGGGUGGAAGAAGGGCACUGGGGCAGGAAGGGGACCCGCGCACGUGGGCCUUCAGGCCGGGUCUCCGCGCGGAGGAAAGGGUCACGUGCAGGUCAGAGCCCCGCACAGGAUUGUAUUCCAUUAUGGGUUAUUACAAGACACUAGAUAUAAUUCCCUGUGGUAUGCAGUAAAUCCUGGCUGCUUAUCUAUUUUAGGAAAAUUUCUAAACAAAAACCCGAACAUCAACAACAACAAACCAACAUGAUGUCCAGGGCAGUGCUGGCUCUGAGCAUCUUUCUACCAGACUACGAAUAAAACCCUCAUUGUUGGAUUCCACGUCUUGACGGUCAUUCUGCACAGACAGUCACCCAACCGGGGGUGGGGUGGGGCGAAGGUGCGGGGAGUAAGAAGGAGCUUCAGAAGACAAAGCCAGCUUGAGAGCCCCACUCCUCGCCGCUUUCCCUCAGUACAAAGAAGGCGCUUCGCAAAGAUCUGCUCUCCCCUCCUCCCAGCAUGUUAGCAGGGCCGCCCCCACGGUGGGACUCCCCGCUCAGAGGGGCCUGGGGAUGGAGUCAUGCCACAGGUCACGGCUGCAGGCCCCUGACCCCCAGAGGCCUGCUGGCCCGCAAGGGCACACACAGCUCCUCAACGAACUCGGUGCCCGCUGCUCACUCCCCAUUGGGGUCUGGGGUAACAAUGCCAUCCUGGGGGCCUCCACUCACCUCCAUCAUGCUCAGGGCAGACUGUCUGCCUUUCCGGUUGUUCAGGGAACGUUUUGAAUCUAAUUCUAAGGAAGCGUGGGCGUGCCAGUCUGCUGUCCUGGCGCUCCUCUCUCGGCAGCUCUGUCCCUCUCUGCCUGGUUAUGACAUCCAGAUUGAACUCAUGGGAGGGAUAAAUUGGGAGACUGGGACUGACAUAUGCAUACCGCUAUAUACCUGUAUAUACCCACGCAUACCGCUAUAUGCCUAUAUAUACUGCCAUAUACUAUAGAUACCACUGUAUACCCACGCAUACCACUGUAUACUAUAGAUACCACUGUAUACCCACGCAUACCGCUGUAUACAUACACAUACUACUAUAUACAUAUAAUAACUAAUAAGGACCUACUGUAUAGCACAGGGGCUUCCCUUGUGGCUCAGCUGAUAAAGAAUCCGCCUGCAAUGUGGGAGACCUUGGUUCGAUCCCUGGAGAAGGGAAUGGCUACCCACUCCAGUAUUCUGACCUGGAGAGUUCCCUGGACUGUAUAGUCCAUGGGGUCGCAAAGGGUCGGACACGACUGAGCGACUUUCACAGGGAACUCAAUACUCUGUAAUGAGCUAUAUGGGAAAAGAAUCUAAAAAAUAGUGGAUUUAUGUGCAUCUGGCUUUCCCUAGUGGCUUAGACAGUAAAUGCCUGCAACGCAGGCGGCCCGGGUUCAAUCCCUGGGUCGGGAAGUUCCCUUGGAGAAGGAAGUGGCACCGUACUGCAGUAUUCCUGCCUGGAUAAUUCCAUGGACAGAGGAACCUGGUGGGCUACAGUCCAUGGGGUUGCAAAGAGUCAGGCACGACUGAGUAACUCACACACACACACACGGCUUUUAAUAGAUAAUAGAGAAA
ensembl:lncRNA